GUUCACGUGGCGCAGUGGUUAAGAGGCUUGACUAUGGAGCAACAGGCCACAGGUUCAAACCCCGGAGAGGACA